rnacentral:lncRNA from 1 species
AUCAUAAAAUUUAUUUAUAUACGUUAAAAUCUUCCUGUGUAACAAAAUGCAUGUUUUAUUUUUAUCUGCCACUUUUCUUAAGUCAGUACACAAUUCCCUCUUCUUUCUCCCAGGCUUGAUAUGAGGUUAGCUUUUCACAAUUGGUACUUCUGGGGGGGCAAAAAACAGGCAAAAUAAGUGAAUGGGAAAGCACUCAGACUUAUUAUUUAUUAAUUUGUGAUAUUCUAGCCUUUCAGUGACUCUUUUCAUGCUAUU